UGUGACAUUUUCACUAAACUAGGUAAAUCGC
rnacentral:piRNA from 1 species